rnacentral:rRNA from 1 species
GACGUAGGAGGCGAGCGUUGUCCGGAUUCAUUGGGCGUAAAGAGCACGCAGGCGGUUUGGCAAGUCGGAUGUGAAAACUCGGAGCUCAACUCCGGGCGUGCAUCCGAUACUGCCCGACUAGAGGUAGGUAGGGGAGAUCGGAAUUCCUGGUGUAGCGGUGAAAUGCGCAGAUAUCAGGAAGAACACCAAUGGCGAAGGCAGCUCUCUGGGACGGUACUGACACUGAGACGCGAAAGCGUGGGGAGCGAACAGG